AACGUACGCUGGCGGCACGCCUAACACAUGCAAGUCGAACGAAGUAGCAAUACUUAGUGGCAGACGGGUGAGUAACAUGUAGGUAUCUGCCCUUUGGCCUGGAAUAACACGAGGAAACUUGUGCUAAUACCGGAUAAGUCUUUACGGAGAAAGCUUUAUGCACCAUUGGAUGAGCCUGCACUUGAUUAGUUUGUUGGUGGGGUAAUGGCCUACCAAGACUGUGAUCAAUAGCUGAUUUGAGAGGAUGAUCAGCCACAUUGGGACUGAGACACGGCCCAAACUCCUACGGGAGGCAGCAGUGGGGAAUCUUGCACAAUGGAGGAAACUCUGAUGCAGCGAUGCCGCGUGAGUGAAGAAGGCCCUUGGGUUGUAAAGCUCUUUCGUCGGGGAAGAAAAUGACUGUACCCGAAUAAGAAGGUCCGGCUAACUUCGUGCCAGCAGCCGCGGUAAUACGAAGGGACCUAGCGUAGUUCGGAAUUACUGGGCUUAAAGAGUUCGUAGGUGGUUGAAAAAGUUGGUGGUGAAAUCCCAGAGCUUAACUCUGGAACUGCCAUCAAAACUUUUCAGCUAGAGUUUGAUAGAGGAAAGCAGAAUUUCUAGUGUAGAGGUGAAAUUCGUAGAUAUUAGAAAGAAUACCAAUUGCGAAGGCAGCUUUCUGGAUCAUUACUGACACUGAGGAACGAAAGCAUGGGUAGCGAAGAGGAUUAGAUACCCUCGUAGUCCAUGCCGUAAACGAUGUGUGUUAGACGUUGGAAAUUUAUUUUCAGUGUCGCAGCGAAAGCGAUAAACACACCGCCUGGGGAGUACGACCGCAAGGUUAAAACUCAAAUGAAUUGACGGGGACCCGCACAAGUAGUGGAGCAUGUGGUUUAAUUCGAAGAUACGCGCAGAACCUUACCAACACUUGACAUGUUCGUCGCGACUUUAAGAGAUUAAAGUUUUCGGUUCGGCCGGACGAAACACAGGUGCUGCAUGGCUGUCGUCAGCUCGUGUCGUGAGAUGUUGGGUUAAGUCCCGCAACGAGCGCAACCCUCACUUUUAGUUGCCAUCAUUAAGUUGGGCACUCUGAAAGAACUGCCAGUGAUAAGCUGGAGGAAGGUGGGGAUGACGUCAAGUCCUCAUGGCCCUUACGUGUUGGGCUACACACGUGCUACAAUGGUAUCUACAACAGGAAGCAAGACUGCGAAGUUAAGCAAAUCCCUAAAAGAUACCUCAGUUCGGAUUGCACUCUGCAACUCGAGUGCAUGAAGCUGGAAUUACUAGUAAUCGUGGAUCAGCGUGCCACGGUGAAUGCGUUCCCGGGUCUUGUACACACCGCCCGUCACACCAUGGGAGUUGGUUCUACCUUAAGGCAAGGUUUCAAACCCUUGACCACGGUAUAGUCAGCGACUGGGGUG
rnacentral:rRNA from 1 species